UAUACUAACUAAAGUGAACCGCAAAGGCUCAGUAUAACAGCUGUAAUUUCUUAGAUCAUAUUCCCAGUACUUGGAUAACUGUGGAAAAUCUAGAGCUAAUACAUGCAAAUAAUGCGAGUAUCGUAAGAUUCUCGUGCAGUUAUUAGACAAACCAAUCGGUCCUCGGACUGUUUUAUAUGGUGGAACUCUAGAUAACUUUGCUGAUCGUAUGGCCUUGUGCCGACGACAGAUCUUUCAAAUGUCUGCCCUAUCAACUUUGAUGUUAGUAUAGAGGACUAACAUGGUUGCAACGGGUAACGGGGAAUCAGGGUUCGAUUCCGGAGAGGGAGCCUGAGAAACGGCUACCACAUCUAAGGAAGGCAGCAGGCGCGUAAAUUACCCACUCCCGGCACGGGGAGGUAGUGACGAAAAAUAACAAUAUAGAACUAGUUAACUAUGUUCUGUAAUUGGAAUGAAUCAAGUUUAAAUCCUUUAAUGAGGAUCAAGUGGAGGGCAAGUCUGGUGCCAGCAGCCGCGGUAAUUCCAGCUCCACUAGCGUAUGUUAAAAUUGUUGCGGUUAAAACGUUCGAAGUUGAUUAUUGUCCAGUUCGGGUGUGACAUCAUCAAUAAAUGAUUGUCAUCACUUUCCGGUUACUUGGACUAUUUGACUGAACACUAAAUGAAUAGCAUUGAUGUCUUUCACUAGACUAGAUGUCUAUUUAGUUUGGCUUAAUUUUACCUUGAACAAAUUAAAGUGCUCAAAGCAGGCUUCAUAUGCUUGAAUAGUUUUGCAUGGAAUAAUGGAAAAAGACCUCGGUCUUAUUUGUUGCGUGGGCUCGCUCACGUAAUGAUUUUCUAUUGGUUUGAUACAGAUCAAGAGGUAAUGAUUAAUAGAAGCAGUUGGGGACAUUAGUAUUACGGCGCGAGAGGUGAAAUUCUUAGACCGUCGUAAGACUAACUAAAGCGAAAGCAUUUGUCAAGGAUGUUUUCAUUAAUCAGACGAAAAGUUAGAGGA
rnacentral:rRNA from 1 species